rnacentral:rRNA from 1 species
GUACACACCGCCGUCGCUACUACAGAUUGAAUGUUGAGUGAGAUCUUCGGCUUGGUUUUCCGAGCGGCUUCGGGUCGUUCGGUAAAGGAAAAGAUGCUCAAACUGGAUCAUUUAGAGGAAGUAAAAGUCGUAACAAGGUAUUCGUAGGUGAAAUGAAGAAGGAUCA